AGUGAACGCUGGCGGUAGGCCUAACACAUGCAAGUCGAACGGCAGCACAGUAAGAGCUUGCUCUUACGGGUGGCGAGUGGCGGACGGGUGAGGAAUACAUCGGAAUCUACUUUUUCGUGGGGGAUAACGUAGGGAAACUUACGCUAAUACCGCAUACGACCUACGGGUGAAAGCAGGGGAUCUUCGGACCUUGGGCGAUUGAAUGAGCCGAUGUCGGAUUAGCUAGUUGGCGGGGUAAAGGCCCACCAAGGCGACGAUCCGUAGCUGGUCUGAGAGGAUGCUCGGCCACACUGGAGCUGGGCCACGGUCCAGACUCCUACGGGAGGCCGCAGUGGGGAAUAUUGGGCAAUGGGCGCAAGCCUGAUCCAGCCAUACCGCGUGUGUGACGAAGGCCUUCGGGUUGUAAAGCCCUCUUGUUGGGAAAGAAAAGCUGUCGCUUAAUACCACGCUGUUGUGACGGUACCCAAUGAAUAAGCACCGGCUAACUACGUG
rnacentral:rRNA from 1 species